AGAGAGAGAGAGAGAGAGAGACCUUGCAUUUGUAUAUUUUAUAAAUUUGUGCUCAGAAUUUGCCCAGAUCCUCAAAACAUUUUAACUAACCACUUGAAGCUUAGAUUCUAUUCGCUGAACUACUUGAUGUACUGCUUAUGUAGGCAUGAUCACUGUCAUACUGGGGGGACUUGGGAUUUGUCUUGCUUGCCUCUUUUGCUUCCCUGAUCAUUGAGUUUCAUCAUCUUUCUAAGGCAUUGUCACGAUGAUGAAAUCUGCCAAUGUUAUGUAAAGUAAAACAUCGUCAACAAUAAUGUAGAACUAGGAUAUGCUAAAGUCUAGUGAAAGGCGACCUAUUUACCAUGGUAUCUCUAAUUUUUUUUAGCAAUUAUAGAGAUUCUACCUGUUAACCUCCACCAUCGUGAAAUUGUCACUGCACCUCACAUGGAGGGAAGAAACAGAAAAUGAGAACAAAUCAUGAAGCUUCGGCAAAGCUUCUUUUAUUAAUAGAUUAAUUUGUAUCAUCAGCUGAAGCUAUUUAAGAUGAACAACAAUGCAUCAAAAAAUAAAACAGAUCAAUAGAAAAAUUAUCAUCUGCAGAAGAAUUUCAAUGGAAAUAAAGAUGUAAAAUGGAUUUGCUGCCUGUGACAACUGUUCUAUUGCUCAAAUCCAAGUCCUAAUUCUAGAUUAAUUGUUUUCCCUUGAGAAAUAUCUAUAAAAAUAGGAACCUACUUCUCAAACCCAAUUUUGGAAGGCUCAACCAUCCACUUAGGACCUUACCAAUAAAGAAGAUAAUAGGACUUCAUUUAGCUCCUCAUUGUAGGGUUGAGCAUUCAGCAGGUCCUAUUCAGUUCGAAAUUUAAUAAAACUGAACUAAAUUGAACUGAAUCCAUUUCAGUAGUUAAAUCAAACCGAAUAGAAAUAAUUUGAUUUGGAUCAUUGGUUUUUAAUAUUAAUACACACACACACCCACAAUUCCAGUCAGUUUCAUUAAUUCGUUUUUUCCCCCCUAAACCAAACCUAAUUGAAUUGACAUUAUUACUUGCAAACCAAUCCAAACUGG
rnacentral:misc_RNA from 1 species